CCUACGGGAGGCUGCAGUGGGGAAUAUUGGACAAUGGGGGGAACCCUGAUCCAGCGACGCCGCGUGAGUGAAGAAGUAUUUCGGUAUGUAAAGCUCUAUCAGCAGGGAAGAAAGAAAUGACGGUACCUGACUAAGAAGCCCCGGCUAACUACGUGCCAGCAGCCGCGGUAAUACGUAGGGGGCAAGCGUUAUCCGGAUUUACUGGGUGUAAAGGGGGCGUAGACGGCGAUGCAAGUCUGAAGUGAAAGGCGGGGGCCCAACCCCCGGACUGCUUUGGAAACUGUAUGGCUGGAGUGCAGGAGAGGUAAGUGGAAUUCCUAGUGUAGCGGUGAAAUGCGUAGAUAUUAGGAGGAACACCAGUGGCGAAGGCGGCUUACUGGACUGUAACUGACGUUGAGGCUCGAAAGCGUGGGGAGCAAACAGGAUUAGAUACCCGAGUAGUC
rnacentral:rRNA from 1 species